rnacentral:rRNA from 1 species
UACGAACUGUCCAAACGUUGUUCGGAAUCACUGGGCUUAAAGGGCGCGUAGGCGGUCGAUCAAGUCAGGGGUGAAAUCCUGCAGCUUAACUGUAGAAGUGCCUUUGAUACUGGUCGUCUCGAGGGAGGUAGGGGUGUGUGGAACUUCCAGUGGAGCGGUGAAAUGCGUUGAUAUUGGAAGGAACGCCGGAGGCGAAAGCGACGCACUGGACCUCUUCUGACGCUGAGGCGCGAAAGCUAGGGGAGCAAACGGG